UACCAGCUCCUCGAGUGGUCGGGACGAUUAUUGGGCCUAAAGCACCCGUAGCCGGUUCCGUAAGUCCUCUGUUAAAUCCAGUCGCUCAACGACUGGCCUGCAGAGGAUACUGCGAGACUAGGAGGCGGGAGAGGCGGACGGUACUCCGCGUGUAGGGGUAAAAUCCUUUGAUCCGCGGAAGACCACCAGUGGCGAAGGCGGUCCGCCAGAACGCGCUCGACGGUGAGGGGUGAAAGCUGGGGGAGCGAACCGGAUUAGAUACCCGGGUAGUCCCAGCCGUAAACGAUGCGAGCUAGAUGAUUCGAUCGCAGUUCGCGAUCGAAGUGUCGCAGGGAAGCCGUUAAGCUCGCCGCCUGGGGAGUACGGUCGCAAGGCUGAAAUGCGAUCAGAAGCAUUCUGAUGCACAGUUCACUUAAAGGAAUUGGCGGGGGAGCACCACAAGGGGUGAAGCCUGCGGUUCAAUUGGAGUCAACGCCAGGAAACUUACCAGGAGCGACAGCAGUAUGAGAGUCAGGCUGAAGACUUUACUUGACGAGCUGAGAGGAGGUGCAUGGCCGUCGCCAGCUCGUGCCGUGAGGCGUCCUGUUAAGUCAGGCAACGAGCGAGACCCUUGCCGAUAAUUGCUAGCCGCGGUAGCAAUACCGCGGAGGCUAGUUAUCGGGACUGCCGCUGCUAAAGCGGAGGAAGGAGAGGGCCACGGCAGGUCAGUAUGCCCCGAAACUCCUGGGCCACACGCGGGCUGCAAUGGUAGGGACAGUGGGUUCCGACCUCGACAGAGGGAGGCAAUCCUCAAACCCUACCCCAGUUGUGAUUGAGGGCUGCAACCCGCCCUCAUGAAUAUGGAAUCCCUAGUAACCGCGUGUCAUCACCGCGCGGUGAAUACGUCCCUGCUCCU
rnacentral:rRNA from 1 species